rnacentral:misc_RNA from 1 species
UUGAAUUUUAAUGAAAAGUUUGGUUGUAGCUGGCCCAUUCAUUUGGGCAUGUGCACACCUUCCUCUUUCAUCCCACACACACCUGUGAACCUGUGAGACAGAGAUGGGGAAUUUACUUGCUGCUUUUGGAAUACAAAGGCAAUAGGCUAUUGGACCCCCCCUCUGUCUACUCAAUUAAUAUAAACUCAAUUUAUUUUAAAACGAAUGUAAUGGAUGUAACACAUCUCAUAC